GGUUCAAUGGUCUAGUGGUUAUGAUUUCUGUCUCACAUUGAGAUUUGCUGAAGCUUGUCUUCGGUUCACAGAAGGUCUCCAGUUCGAUCCUGGAUUGAACCA
rfam:Hebeloma cylindrosporum h7 unplaced genomic scaffold scaffold_11, whole genome shotgun sequence.